CCCGAGCGAAGAAAAGUGGAAAAGAGUGUUAUUCCUCAAAAAACCCACACAACGACGGUCAUUUUUUCGCCGUGCUAUUGUAAAAUUGUCUUUUAUCUGUGUUUUGUGUUCCGGGGGACCCCGACUCCAGAAUGUGAAAGUUUCCCGCGUGAAGCCGUGGAGCUCGAGAUCCUGUUUACUGUGGACUAGCUGUGUGUGACGCCAUGUUGUUUUUGUUUCCAUUACAAAAAAAAGCUCCACCGUCUCGCCGAGUGCCAGCAAGAGUCAUGAGUACUUGUCAACUCGACUCCUCAACUGGAGAUAACUUUCUAGCACCUCACCAUGGGGAAGGAUGUAUUCAUAUGCCUUCACCAGCACAUGCAUUUAACAUGCAGAGAGUUACACAAGUUCUUAUCACCUUGGGGCACCAUUCAGGGUGCCUUUUCAUCUGAUUAAAUUUAUAAUGAACAGGGACAUUGCGGUUGUCCCAAGUGGAUGGUAUGAUGAUAGGAUGGUUUUCUGGCCCAGCUAUAAAAACACAGACAGAAUUGAAAGGGCCGCUUUAAAUGAGGAGCAGCAUGAGCCAAACUGGCCAAGAUUUGACGUUUCUGUUGUCCGAACUUGUGACAACUACAAAGACGCAUUAAAAAUAAUGCAACAAUAUGGAAAGGGCUGCAACACCUCAGACCUGCAAUCUGAGGCAGAGAACGAGGAGCUGCCAGAAAAAAGGUACAGGAAGCCAGUGCAUCGUCUCGGGGACUCAGAUGAUAGCGAAGAAGACCCGGGAAAUAGUGACCUCACAUCUCUGGGGUUGGCAAACCAAUUGCACAGGCAGACUCCAUCGUCUCACCGAGUGCCAGCAAGAGUCAUGAGUACUCGUCAACUCGACUCCUCAACUGGAGAUAACUUUCUAGCACCUCACCAUGGGGAAGGACGCAUUCAUAUGCCUUCACCAGCACUGCAUUAAACAUGCAGAGAGUUACACAAGGAACGGCAGUCCCUCCUCGACUCCCUCCACCCCCCUCACCAGCAGCCCUCAACAUGUGGCAGACAGAGGAGCCUGGAUCCAGCCUGGCCUACAGGCCAACAUGGCGAGGGGGAAGAAUGGCCGACAACAUUUCCUGCUCUGCGCCUGAGGUAAUCCACAUCCUUAGCCAGCUGGAAACUAUUAAGCACAACCAAGACCAGCUGAUUGCGAAGGUGCUGUGAGUAAAAAUGUGUUGACAAGGUCAGCCACGGACGCUGAGGUCACCAAACACGCCAUCAGGUGGUUCAGCUUGGCGGGGGAUCGGGCAACGAGGAGACGAGUCCCGCUUCCACCUCCUCAGGAGGAAUAGAGAUGUAU